rnacentral:rRNA from 1 species
AUACGGAGGGAGCGAGCGUUAAUCGGAAUUACUGGGCGUAAAGCGCGCGUAGGCGGCUUUGUAAGUCGGAUGUGAAAGCCCUGGGCUCAACCUGGGAAUUGCAUUCGAUACUGCAGAGCUAGAGUAUAGUAGAGGCAAGUGGAAUUCCGGGUGUAGCGGUGAAAUGCGUAGAUAUCCGGAGGAACAUCAGUGGCGAAGGCGACUUGCUGGACUAAUACUGACGCUCAGGUGCGAAAGCGUGGGUAGCGAACAGGAUUAGAUACCCCAGUAGUCC